AUGGCGUCCGGCGUGGCCUCAGCAUCGGCGCCCCCGCCGGUGGAUCAAAUCCGCGUGGUUGGUGCGUGGGCUGGGCCCCUGGAGGUGGAGCUGGGCACCUGGAAGGUGCCGAUGAUGCAGGGGGAGGUGGCGUGGCGGGCCGGGGACGUGGAGCCCGACCGCGUCGGCCUCAUCUUCGGCGGCCGCGUGCUCAAGGACGACCCCGCCGGCGUCUCGCUGCAGCAGGCCGGCCUCAAUAAGCUCGUCAGGCUCUGCUUCUGGAGACGUCGAAAGGUCAGCAGGAGGAGGUGUUGCCGUACAUCGAGAAGAAGAAGAAAAAAAAGGGAUGUUUUGUCUCCAACAGCAGAACCCGUUCCAUUGGUGAAGAAAAGAAUGCGGACGAAUGACAACGGUGACGACCGACGACUGCAAGGGGGGAAGCGGAAGCAAAGCAAGAAAGAGAGAGAUAGAGAAAAAGAGAAAUGCAGCAAAAAGGAGUACCACAUUAGGCCACAAGAUUUUGUAUUUUGUUUAUCUUCGGAGCAGAGAUCGAACUGUUUCAUGUGA
rnacentral:rRNA from 1 species